rnacentral:lncRNA from 1 species
GUCUAUUACCUUUUUAUUGGAAUUCGUAUUUGACAGAUAUAAAUAGUAACAAUCAAAUAGCCUUAAGAAGUUACAUACAAACGGUUGAUGAGUGGUUCGGCUAAAAGAUAUAUGUCUGAUAAAUAUGCUCUUAAGCUUAGAAUUGUAAUUCAUUCUGUUCUUUCUCCCCUAUAAAAGAUCGUGUGAUCCAAGAGGAAAUGAAUCCAGAAUCUAAUAACCAACUAGGCCUAAACUGAAUCCUAUUAUAUGGCGCACGUUGGAUUUUCGACAAGUUCGAAAAGCAUUGCCCACAAAUGCUAGUGAAAUCUAAAACUAGAUCAACAAUCUUUUAAGCCCCAUUAUGUAAUUGAAGUUUCUUCUCCCCUGCUUUAAACUUACACAGGCAUUUUCACAUGGCACAGCAAACUCUCUUGAACCCGCCAUCCACUUUGGCGUGUACAGUGCGAAUGAUUGUGAUAAUAGUAGAGGCAACGAUGGAUCUCAGUUCAAACAUACUCUCUCAUAUGUCAUAUAUACUAACACUAAAGAAACUUUCGGUCCAUUUCUAAAAUUGCUUUGCCUCAUAGCAUAACAUUGUACAGCAACAGUGACAGCGAAUUUUGGUGCCGCCAUUUAGUCUUUUUUCAUCUCCAAUCAUGACACUCCACCUAUAUAUUUAAUUUCAACCCAAUUUUAUAUCUACAUAUUGCAACAAUUACAACUAACUCUACACAAUAAAUUCUCCAAGAAUAAGAAAUGAAAAAUCAGAAACUGACAAAACUGAGAGUCUAAAAACACUAUAAUGAAUGACAUUCUUGAUGACCCAGAAGAUAAUUGAUGAAGAAGAAAAUAAAUGAUCAUCCAAAAUUGUGCUGAUGUAGCUGAAUUUGAAAAGAGUGAGAGAGGAUUACAACAAUACCUCCAAAAAUGGAUCAAGAAACGACCUUGGCGUUGUGCAAGAAAGCCACAGAGCAAAGAAUGGAAGUAAUGAAAGCGAAGAAACCUAAGCCGAUCACCAAAGAGAUCCCCGCUACUAUCAAAUCCAAUAUGCACUGCAAACUUAAUCCCAUAAAUGCCAUCAUUUCUUCCCCGAAAACGAUCUUUUAAAAAUCUAAGUUAAAAAGAGAAAAAGAUAGAAAUUUUGAGGUGGGUUUUUUGGCUAAAGAUUUCUGCUGAAGUUUGAGAGAAGAAAUGGGGCUGCUGUUCACUAAAUAAGAAGAUUAAGGAUCGAUAGAAUCAAGCGGUGAGAAAACAGAGGUGAUGGAGAGUGAAGGCUGAGACGAACGGUACAGUUGCUUUUUUUUGGGGAAACUCAAUUAUGGAUUAAUAGUUCCAAUCACAC